UCUUCUUUUCUCUAUCAUCCCGAACAUUUUUGUUCUGCGUUUCUCAUCGAUAGCGAUGACGUUCCAGUUCCGUAAUGGGGCGUUGUGAUUUCUACGCCUUAAAUCUUAUUGUCUUUAAUCUCAUUAAACUAGACGCCCGCUAUGAUAGCUUCAGUUGCGUUGUUCAGUCGACGAUUUCGUGUAUAAAUAGGUUCGUAUCUCACUUCUUCGAAUGGUGGUGAAGAUUCCGCCGGCAGUCGAAAGCUCCUGGAAAGAUGUCUCCGGCGGAGGCUGCGGUUUCGCAAUGGCUACCUCAGAAUCCGGGAAGCUGAUCACAUGCGGCUCGACGGAUGAUCUAGGUCAAAUCUAUGUCACAUCAGGAAAGCACUGUUUUUAGUCGAGUUACUCUUUCAUAGGAGACUCCCGAGCCGUUUCCUCUGCCUCCGGAGGUUUGUGUACAGAAAGCUGAAGCUGGAUGGGAUCAUUGUGUGGCGGUAACAGAGAGCCAUGAAGUUUAUACAUGGGGAUGGAAGGAAUGUAUACCAACUGGAAGAGUGUUUGGACAAGUGGAAGGAGAUUCGUGUGAAAUGAACACCUCAUUCUCUGCAGAGCAAGGUUAAUCUCUUUUGCAUGUUAAAAUAUCUCAUGUAAUGACUGGUCUUAUAUCUCAUGUUCCAAGUGCUUCCAGAAGUUUCAACGCAGGUUCUCAUCUUCCACCAGUGCAUCAUGUAAUGAUGUAACACUGUUGGGAUUGUAAGGUAGUCCAUGUUGAACACAUUUCCAUUCACUCUCUCUAAGUAAUUUAAACCAAUCUCAUUCCCAUACGUUAUAACAAGUUAUUGGGUGUGUGGGUAUUAAUGGUGAGAUGAACAAACUGACAAAGCCUUUCUACUGCUGCAGUUUCUCAAGCGAUGGUUGCAGAUACUAAUUCCCUUUCUUCUCUCUUUGUUGCUUUAUUAGAGACCUUAGUCCAUGUACUUAAACCUAUUUGACAUAUAAGACGCAUGGCUGGCAAACCAAAUAACCUUAACCUUUCAUGCCAAGCUCUCUAAGUUCAGACUUUUCAUCAAACCAUAAAUCAUUCACCCUAGCUCUGAUAUUAGAUUAGAACCAACGCCAAUUCCUACUUUUGAUGGACAGGUAGGUAAUGACAACUCGGGCAAUGAUAUGCCAGGUUCUGGAGCUGUUAAAAAACUUACACCACUGAUGGUGUAAAGUGUGAACAGUUGUGUCGCUCUGAACAUCGUUGGCAUCGGUACUAUUGCUAUUAUUACAUAGUAUAAGUUAGUGAAAACCAGGUAAUGGUUAAUCUUCAAGAGUAUAGGAGUUUUAAACACUGUUGUGGACUUUAGCUGAUGCUCUACUACCACUUUUUAAAAAGAAUCCUCUAGACAAAAGUAUUCUACCUCUUUCGGUCAUGCUAAUUAUUGCAUCUGAUUCUUUUUCCUUCUCGAUUUUUUGUACACAGCAAGGCAACUACGUUUGUACGGCAACUACGUUUGCUCUUUUUUAGAAAUGUCCAUGGGAUCUCUGAUUUUCUACACA